rnacentral:tRNA from 1 species
UGGAAUAUAGCCAAGAGGUAAGGCAUCGGUUUUUGGCACCGCCACCCCUGGUUCGAUUCCAGGUGUUCCAGCCA